GGCUUUUGAAACAAGGUAGUAGUGUCCCCAUUUCAGAUGAGUCGGGCAGAGUCUUCCUUCUGAGGUCACCUGGCUUCUAGGUGGCAAGGCUAAAUAAAUACAUCCCAGACGAGGUCGCUUUCCCCUCAGCACAGCUGGUGUGGGGCCUCGGAGAGAACACUUAGCCCAGCAGGUGCCAUGGGGAGGCGGUGCAGGCUCAGGUUCUGGGCACACAGCAGCUCCUGUGAGGGUGAGGCUAAGGUCUUGUGGUUUCCUGGCACAUCGGGCAACUCUUCUGGAGGGCUCCCUCUGUGGCUGAAAGCAAGUUGUCUUCCUUCCCUGCCCUCCAGGGUGAGCCCCCACCCCUCAUGCACCACCUCUGUUCUUCUUAGCUAGAGGGGCCUGAGCUAGCGGUCUAGGCAGCUGCUUCCGCACUGUCCUCCCGCUUCCUGUUUCAGCAGUGGCUCCGAUUUCACCACCGUUGCUGCUUCUCCAUGGUUCUUGGGGCAAGCCGUUGAGUCAUGAUCUGCCUCUUUGCUCCGUUCUUCACCUCUUUCCCCACUCCUGAGUUUCCACGUUGUAGCUAGAUAUUCUGAAAAGGCCAGUGGGAUCACAGCACCCCCAAUCACCACUUUUGCAAUGCCUGGAGGGGCCCUGUGCCUUCAAGAGGAAGUCCAGACUCACAAGCCCUUUGAAGACCUGGUCCCAUCCUCCUCCAUCUCCCUUCUGUACCAGAACCUGAGCGGCAAGUGCUGCACGUGUCCCACAGUACUCUCGUGUGAGCCAUUACUGGCAAGUCUUUCUGGUGAAUUUCUGUGUAAGCUCACUCAGAACUUGCCCCUGAGGACCCCUCCACCCUACCUGCCCUGGGCCCUCUCUUAGACACUGAGUUCCUGCCUCUGGCAUUGUGGCCCUAGCACCUUUGGUACUCCUGGAGUAGAGCCUGUGUCCUCUAGGGCUGUGUCCACAGCGUUGACACAUAUCUGGAUGCUUAAUGGGUACUCAAAUGAAUAAGUGAAACCUGCUUGGCUUUCAUUUGGACAGUAUAGACGUGUCCAUUGGAUUGUGGAUGGCUUUGUAACCAGGGCCGGUGGCAUAUCAAAAAUGAAGACUUUGUAAAAUAUAUGGGCAACUUUCUGCCUAUAAAGCUGGCUUUACAUGGCGCCGCCUUUUUUGAACUUUCUGAAGCGUAAAGGCGUGCAUUGAAUCCACCAGGAAGGCUUUUCAUGGGGCAGGGGCAGGCUGUGUUAGCAGAAGAAUGGCAGUAUGGCCGAGGGGCCGUAGUCAUUGGUUCUCGCCAUUGUAUUCUGAGCCUUUGUGCUCUAGGCGUCAGGGCCUCUCCUUUUUGAAUCUGUCCACCAAAAUCUAACAAAAUCGGGACUGAGUGUGGUCUCUUCUUCCCUCCCUGUCCCAGGCCACGUGCUGUAUGCCGACAUCAAGAUGGAGAACGGGAAGUCCAAGGGGUGUGGUGUGGUUAAGUUUGAGUCACCAGAGGUGGCCGAGAGAGCCUGCCGGAUGAUGAAUGGCAUGAAGCUGAGUGGCCGAGAGAUUGACGUUCGAAUUGAUAGAAACGCUUAAGCAGUUGCCUUUUUUAAACAUCGAUACGAGACCUCUGAAUUUGUAUUUUUUCUUGUUAACCAUUUUAAUUUGUUGGCUGGAUGUAUAAAGAUGUUUAAAAAAUUCAGUUGCUUUUUGGGGUAAUUUGAAUUACUUUUUUAAUGACUGGGGUUCCAUUUGACUGUUUGCAUUGAGAUUGCAAUGUGCGCAAUUUUUUUUGUAGUUGUGGCAUCUUGUUGACAUCGAAUAUGACUUUGAUAAUAAAUACCGGUUCCUG
rnacentral:sRNA from 1 species